rnacentral:lncRNA from 1 species
GUCAGUGCAAAACGAAAACGCUUGGAGUGGGAGAAAGUUUGCGAGAGGGUGAACGCGGUGGGUUCCGAGACACGCACCCCCGCGGAGAUAAAAAAAAAAAAGUGGUCGGACCUCAAGGUGGAGGUCAAGCGGCGUACAGCUGCCCUCCGGAGGAGUACCGGCCAGACAGGUGGGGUUCCGGGGGAGGAGACCCUCACGCUGUUAGAGCAGCGGGUGGUGGCGAUUAUUAUUAUAGGGUAAGUGGCGUGUCACACAAAUGUCCACAUGCUUUGCCAUCCCACUGAGCAAAAGACGUAUAUUAGACGUCUAGUCUAAGUUUAUACUUCAUUUCAACGUCGGGAUUCAGUCUAUUUUUAGACGUGAUUUAUACUUCGCCCUUAACUUCAUUUUUCGAUAACUUUUUAUGCAAUAAACAAUUGUAAUGUGCAUAACUGACCUCUAAAUACUGGAUUACAUUACCUAUGAUACCGUGGAGAGAGAUGUAAACGCAACAGAUACACAAAAGUAGGAAUGGAAAUGAACCAAUAUUUUUAUUGUGUCACAGAAAUCAAUGUGUCGGCCGUGUCGCCAGCUUGCGGAACCCGGGCCCGCGGCAGCCCGUCCGCCGGCUCGGAGUCGUCGGCCAGGACCAGCGGCAUUCGGGCCACCCCGGCCCCCGCACCAGCACUAGCGCGCCGACAAGCGGUGGAGCGUCCACCAGCCGCGGCGCUUCAGCUGGACCACCCGGACGCAGUGGAAGGGUCCUCAUGGAGGCGGUCCUGCAAUCACAGGAAGAAAUCAUCAGGGGGAUCGCGGGGAUCAACGAGCGGCUGGACCGGCUCGUAAAUGUCCUCGAGCGUCUGGUGGCGAAAAUAAAUUAAUUUGGCUCAUUGAACUGUGUAUUCACUUCUUACCCAUUCACACUGUGGCGAUGAGAUUCUCCCGCGUGAGGACUGCGGCCCGGCAGGGAUCAGCUCGCAUCCCUCCGUCUGCUGCUGGUUCGUCAUGUGGGGCGACGUGCUGCUCGGCCACGGGGAUGUGGUGCACGCUUGUCACAUAGUGAUUCACCAAACACCGCCACACAGCGUCGCCAAAGUGCCGUCAACGCAGGUAUCGGCUCAACGCCAACUUCUACACCACCUCCUCACUUUGCGUUGAUUAGCGCUGGAUCCGACGCUCGUUUCGAGAUGAUAAAUCUGGACGUGUGCGCCGAUCUUGGCGGACGCAAGGUUUUCUGGCGCCGCCAGCGUUGAUACAUGAGGCCCCUGGUACCUACAGCAGCAAAAGCAAAUAAAAUAGAUAGAUAGAUAGACUUUGUUCAUCCCAAACUGGGAAAUUCUUUAAUUAACGAUAGACUGACUUUACAGACCUAGUUCUGCUCCUUCUGAGAC